rnacentral:rRNA from 1 species
GACGAACGCUGGCGGCGUGCUUAACACAUGCAAGUCGAACGGAAAGGCCCCUUUUGUGUUACUCGAGUGGCGAACGGGUGUGUAACACGUGAGUAACCUGCCCUUGUCUUCGUGUUAACUUCAGGAAACUGGGGCUAAUACCGGAUAGGAAUCCUUUCUUCAUGGUGGGGGUUGUAAAGCUUCGGGGGUUUUGGAUGGACUCGCGGCUUAUCUGCUUGUUUGUGUGGUGGUGGCUUACCAAGGCUUUGACGGGUAGCCGGCCUGGGAGGGCGACCGGCCAAAGUGGGAAUGAGAUAAGGCACAGACUCAUAAGGGAGGCAGAAGUGGGGAAUAAUGCACAAAGGGAGGAAGCCUGAUGCAGAAACGCCGCGGGCGGGAUGACGGCCUUCGGGUUGGAAACCGAAUUCAGCAGGGGCGAAGCUUGUGGUGACGGUACCUGCAGAAGAAGCACCGGCUAACUACGUG